rnacentral:rRNA from 1 species
CAUGAACGCUGGCGGCAGGCCUAACACAUGCAAGUCGAACGGAUCCUUCGGGAUUAGUGGCGGACGGGUGAGUAACGCGUGGGAACAUACCCUUUGGUACGGAAUAGCCUCGGGAAACUGGGAGUAAUACCGUAUGUGGUCGAGAGACGAAAGAUUUAUCGCCAAAGGAUUGGCCCGCGUUGGAUUAGGUAGUUGGUGGGGUAAUGGCCUACCAAGCCGACGAUCCAUAGCUGGUUUGAGAGGAUGAUCAGCCACACUGGGACUUAGACACGGCCCAGACUCCUACGGGAGGCAGCAGUGGGGAAUCUUAGUCAAUGGGGGAAACCCUGAUCUAGCCAUGCCGCGUGAUCGAUGAAGGCCUUAGGGUUGUAAAGAUCUUUCAGGUGGGAAGAUAAUGACUGUACCACCAGAAGAAGCCCCGGCUAACUCCGUGCCAGCCGCCGCAGUAACAC